rnacentral:rRNA from 1 species
GACGAACGCUGGCGGCGUGCUUAAUACAUGCAAGUCGAACGGAAAGGCCCUGCUCUUGCGGGGCGCUUGUGUGGCGAACGGGUGUGUAACACGUGAGUAACCCGUCCCUGUCUUUGGGAUAUCAUCUGGAAACUGGGGCUCAUACCGGAUAGGAGCUUCUGAUGCGCGGUGGGGGUUGGAAAGUUUCGGUGGUGCGGGAUGGGUUCGCAGGUUCACGGCUUGUUGGUGAGGUAGUGGCUUUCCAAGGCUUGGAAGGGUAGUCGGCCUGAGCAGGUGACCGGCCACAUUGGGACUUAGAGACGGCCCAGACUCCUACGGGAGGCAACAGGGGGAAAUAUUGCACAAUGGGCGGAAGCCGAAUGCAGCAACGCCGCGUGCGGGAAAACUGCCUUCGUGGUGUAAACCGCUUUCGCCUGUGACGAAGCGUGAGUGACGGUAAUGGAUAAAGAAGCACCGGCUAACUACGUG